CCCAAAAUCUUCUCCUUUGUAAUAUUUCUAGAAGAAAUAUUAAUUUGGUAGUGUCCGAGGACGUAAGCUAAAUUGGCCGAACCUCGUUAAAUCUCUGAAGAUCGAGAAGUUGCUGGUAGCAGUUCUAAUGUUUCCAAGAACUUCACUAAUAAGAAGAUCAAUAUUUAUCUUGAUGAAAUCAAUUAUCCUCUGUGAAAACAGCAGGUAUCUUUUGCUUUGGAGAGUUAUGGUUUGGAGUCUUACAUUGAUGGUACUCAGGCUAUACCUCCUAAGUUUGUUUCUGAUGAGUCUGGUCAUCUAGUUAAAAAUCUUGAAAGAGUUUCAUUUAAUAAACAAGAUAAAGACAUAGCAUCUCGGUUACUUUCCGUUGUCAGACCUGAGAUUUACCAAAUUUGGUCAUGUGUCAAUCGACUGCUGAAAUUUGGGAAGUCAUUGGUUAGUUGUAUUCUACUAAAACAACUACCAAAAGUAUGAGUCUUCGGUAUUCUUUGUACUCUCAAAAGAAGGGGGAUCAAAACAUGCGUGAUUAUUUAAGAGAACUUAAAUUGAUUAAGGAUAAUCUUGGCAUAUGUGGAGAAAAAAUAUCUGAUGCAGAGCAUAUUGCAACUAUUCUUAAUGGUUUACCUAGUGAAUUUGAUUCGAUGGUCACCUUAAUCACCACUAGCAGGCAAGCCUAUGAUGUACUUGAUUUGUCUUCGAUGCUGAUUGAUCUUGAAGCUAGGCAGAAGUUAGGUGCUAUGGUUGGGCUCUUCAGUGUAAAUCUUGUCACAAGUCAGUCUACUUCUCAUGGUGUAUAGUGUUGGAUCACCGGCACCCCUAUGGCGCAGCGAAAAAAUAAAACACCCGGCGAUCCUAACCACGGAUCCAUGUGUGAAGAACGAAUUGGGGUGAAAAAGGGUUUCAAAAUUAUCGAAUAGUGAUUCUGAGUAGACAGCGACGCCUCAACAAUGAGUAACCUGAUCUACUAUCGAAUCAAGCCGCAAUCUUUGAUGACCCCGACCUCUACAUAAUCCACCUAGUUGACUAUGAACGGAAGGAAUCCCCAAACAGUUUUGGAGAAGAUUUUGUUUUUACGGCUGCUAGACUCACCAAGCAAAGAAAAACGGGAUUUUAUAUCUUAUUAUUUUCUUUUAGGGUUUUUCAAAAUUAAAUAAAUAUAAUAAUGUUUAAAAAUAUCAAAAAUUAUAAUUACAUUAAUUAUAAUAAAGAUUUCGGUAAACUAUAUUUAUUUA